UGAUAUGACUGAGUGGCGGACGGGUGAGUAACGCGUGAGCAACCUGCCCUGCAAAGGGGGACAACAGUUGGAAACGACUGCUAAUACCGCAUGAGACCACGAUCUCGCAUGGGAUUGAUGUCAAAGAUUUAUCGCUGAAAGAUGGCCUCGCGUCUGAUUAGCUAGUUGGUGAGGUAACGGCCCACCAAGGCGACGAUCAGUAGCCGGACUGAGAGGUUGACCGACCACAUUGGGACUGAGAUACGGCCCAGACUCC
rnacentral:rRNA from 1 species